ensembl:lncRNA
GGAAACUGUCAAAAUGCCUCUUAUUACAUACCUGAUUACCUGCGUCAUAGAGGCCUAACUGGAGCAACUCACCUGCAUCACCACCUCCUGAAAUGAGACACAACCCUUUAACUGAACUGACCUAUUCUCAGGACUAAGAGACUAGUUCAAUGAGUUAUGGAGCAAUCUGCCAACUCAGGACAGCUUCCCAGUGACUGUCCUGACUGAGUUUUCAGGUCAUGGCACAGAAAAGCACUUGCAAAAUUCAACAUCCAUUCCUGAUUAAAAACUCUCAUCAAAGUAGAAAGAGAAAGGCACUUCCUCAUCUGCAGUGUUAGCCGUAGGUUUUGCAGCCAACAUCAUUCUCAAUGAUGAGAGACGAAAGGCUUUCCCCAUAAGAUCAGGAAGAUGCAGGGGUGUCAGCUCUCAUCACUUCUGUUCAUCAUUUUAACAGAAGUUCUAGCCAGUGCAAUAGGCAAGACAAAGAAAGAAAAGGCAUCUAGAUUGGUAAGACAAAAGUAAAACUACCUUUAUUUGCAACAAACACAAUCUUCUAUAUAGGAAAAUCUGAUGGAAUCUACAAAAAGGCUCCUAGAACUAGAAAGUAAGCUUAGCAAGGUUUCAGGAUGCAAGAUUAAUAUUCAGAAAUCAAUUGUUCUUAUCACUAGCAAUGAACAAUCAUAAAUCAAAAUUUAAAAAGCUAAUCCAUUUACAACAGUGUCAAAAAUAUUAAUAUUUAAGGAUAAAUAUGACAAAAAUGUGCAAGAUUUGUUCACCACAGACUACAAAACAUUGCUGAGAGACCUUCUAAAAGCCCUAGAUAAAUGAAGAUACAUACCUUGUUCAUGGGUAAAUGUUAAGAAUCAAUAUUAUUAAGAUGUUAAUCCUCCCCAAAUGAAUUUCAUGGUUGGCCUUGUUUUUGCAAUUUGACAAGCUCAGUCUCAAAUUCAUAUGAAAGUUUAAAGGAUAUAGAAUAGCCAAAAUUUCUUUGAAAAAGAACAAAGUUGGAGAACUAACGUUACCUGAUUUCAAGGCUUAUUAUAAAUCUAUAAUAAUCAAGACAGUGUGGUAUUGGCAUUAGGAAAGAGAAAUAGAUAAAUGGAAAAGAAUCAAGAAUCCAAAAAUAGACCCACACAUGUAUGAACAACUUAUGUUAGAUAGAGAGGUAAAGGCAAUUCAGUGGAGAAAGGAUAAUCCUUUUUAAUAAUUGGCUAGCCGAAUGCAAAAAAAUUUGACCUUUGAUUUAUACCUCACAUUAUAAAAAACAAACUCAAAAUGGACCAUAGAACUAGGUGUAAAAGCUAAACCUUUAAAACUUCCAGAACAAAACAUGGAAGAAAAUCUUCAAGAUGUUGGGUUAAGCAAAGAGUUCUUAAAUUCAACACCAAAAACACAAUCCACAAAAGGGAGAAAUUAUAACUGGACUUCAUCAAAAUGAAAAAUUUCUGCUCAUCAAAUGACAUUUUUAGGGGAAUGAAAAGGCAAGCCUCAUAUUGGAAGAAAAUAUUGGGAAAGCAUAUAUCUGAUAAAGGAUUUGUAUCCAGAAUAUAUAAAAGAACUCUCUUUACUUCAUAUUGACUUCAGUUAUGACCCUUAAUUGUUAACCUAUAAAAUUAAAACUCUGUAUUUAACUGGCAAAAAAAAAAGAACUCUCAAAACUCUAUUGUAUUGCAACAAAAACCCUAAUUUUAAAAACAGACAAAAGUUUGAUCAGAUACCUCUCUAAAAGAGAUAUAAGAAUGGCAAAUAAAACUCAUAAAAUGUUGCGUAACCACAUUAGUCAUUAGGGAAAUGCAAAUUAAACUACAGGGAGAUACCAUUACAUACCCACUGCGGGAGGCUAGACAGUGACCCUGCAAAUAUAUCCACAUCCUCAUCCCCCAAAUGUGCAGCUGGUACCUUAUAUGGCAAAAAGGACUAUGCC